rnacentral:rRNA from 1 species
GAUGAACGCUGGCGGCAUGCCUUACACAUGCAAGUCGAACGGCAGCGCGGACUUCGGUCUGGCGGCGAGUGGCGAACGGGUGAGUAAUACAUCGGAACGUACCCUGUUGUGGGGGAUAACUAGUCGAAAGAUUAGCUAAUACCGCAUACGAACUGAGGGUGAAAGUGGGGGACCGCAAGGCCUCACGCAGCAGGAGCGGCCGAUGUCUGAUUAGCUAGUUGGUGGGGGAAAGGCCCACCAAGGCGACGAUCAGUAGCUGGUCUGAGAGGACGAGAAGCCAUACUGGUACUGAGACACGGCCCAGACUCCUACGGGAGUCAGCAGUGGAGAAGUUUGGACAAUGGGGGCAACCCUGAUCCAGCAAUGCCGCGUGUGUGAAGAAGGCCUUCGGGUUGUAAAGCACUUUUGUCCGGAAAGAAAUCGCGCUGGUUAAUACCUGGCGUGGAUGACGGUACCGGAAGAAUAAGCACCGGCUAACUACGUGCCAGCCGCCGCGGUAA